CCCAGACUAACAUUAAACACAGUCUUUACCUUCCUGAAACCAGAGAGCAUCUGUACCUCUUCCUGAAAGAGAAGUCUGGUUACAGCUGUCUGCCGAGAGGUGGGGCGUCGUCAGGGAAACCAGCUUCAUUAGGGGUGUAAUUAACAUCCGUGCUAGACAAUGGAUGCCAUGGUGAUGGACUCACUUUCGGUGUUCUAAGGGAUGACGUUAUGCAGACACCGCAAGGCUGGCACAGAUUCAAAGACGCAAAAAGAAUUGGGUACAUUAGUCUUUGACAGGUAUGAAUGGCCUAAAUAAACAGUAAAGAGUUGCGAGCAGG
rnacentral:lncRNA from 1 species